UACGAAGGGUGCAAGCGUUACUCGGAAUUACUGGGCGUAAAGCGUGCGUAGGCGGUUUGUUAAGUCCGCUGUGAAAGCCCUGGGCUCAACCUGGGAAUUGCAGUGGAUACUGGCAAGCUAGAGUGCGGUAGAGGAUGGUGGAAUUCCCGGUGUAGCGGUGAAAUGCGUAGAGAUCGGGAGGAACACCAGAGGCGAAGGCGGCGACCUGGACAGGUACUGACACUAAACUACGAAAGCGUGGGGAGCAAACAGG
rnacentral:rRNA from 1 species